UACGGAGGGUGCAAGCGUUUAAUCGGAAUUACUGGGCGUAAAGCGUGCGUAGGCGGUUCGUUAAGUCUGUUGUGAAAGCCCCGGGCUCAACCUGGGAAUGGCAAUGGAUACUGGCGAGCUAGAGUGUGUCAGAGGAUGGUGGAAUUCCCGGUGUAGCGGUGAAAUGCGUAGAGAUCGGGAGGAACAUCAGUGGCGAAGGCGGCCAUCUGGGGACAACACUGACGCUGAGGCACGAAAGCGUGGGGAGCAAACAGG
rnacentral:rRNA from 1 species